UCCUCUUCCUCCUGAGGCUGACAUUACAAGAGAACUGCAGACCAGCCCUGCGUUACCUGCCUCCUUGUCCACAUCUGAGGUGGAGCCCUUGGAUGUGCUCUAGAAGGUUGGGACCUUGGGAGAGACAGCUCUCUGCAGCUGAGGCAAACCCUGGAAGAGCUAACAGGUGGUUGGGACAAGUCCUUCCAUGAGAGGGGAGCCGAAUAGUUCAUCUCAGCGUCCAUCACAUCGUGUAGGCACCUCGAUGAGCAUCGAUGCCAGGCCAGCAGGCACCCACAGGGGGACCAUCUCCUGGCUCCCUGGGACACUCACACCUCAGAAGCAAAGAGACUAAUGCUGCCUGAGCAGGGGAAGAGGAAAAUGUCUGUGACGGGUUGCUCUUGAGAACUCCAAGACCCAGGAAUAAAUGUGGAGCAGAGGAAAUUUUCAGGGAACUGGAGUUUCCAAAAUGUUGAGUGUGGUUCAGUGGGCUACACGUACAAGUAAUGGUGUUUGACAUGGGAGUUCCUUCCAUAUGUGAAGAGAACAGGCUGAUGGAGGAGAACACGACUUUCAGUUGGCGACCUGAUGACCCUGGCUUGCUCGCUCACCAAAGGCCCACCUUCAGCCCUUUAUUGGUUUGCUCAUGUGGCAGAGCCCCCAUCAGCCUGAGCUUCUCAGCUCGAAUGGCUGGGGUUGGAGCUUGGGACACAAAUUCAUGAACAAGGAAAGAACCACAGCCGCUGGCCGCAAAAGCCAAGUGGGCAUCUGGUCCCGGUGACUCUCUCCAAAGCAGCUCCUUCCACAGACAAGGUGCGACAAGUGUGCUUCAGCCAGCCAGGACCACACGCUGUAGAGGACUAGGCAUCCUACUUAAAUAAACAGCAAACAUGAACACAGUCGUGCACAAGCCAACGAAACGUUCUCUCCCAGAACAUUCCAGGAGCUGCUAAAGCAGCAGGUCAUGGCAUAAGACUGCCACAACAUUUCCAAAAUCAAGCUGUUGGAUGAAGUGCAGACUUCUAUUUUGAUAACUGCAGCUACAAUGAAUACCAGCUAGCCAAGGACAACUCCAUUUAUGAAGCCAUUUUUAAAGAUGACCCAGUGAAGAGGACGGUAUAAAAAGUUCAAACAGCAACCAGGUGGAAAAUAAUUCUGGGAUAUCGAGAUGUGACCUCUGUGUUCUUCAGAUACCUAGUCCGGGCAUGGCGUGGAAAGCUUUAAGAGGCUGUGGAGCACCAGGUCUCAUCUCCCUCAAGGUGUGGAAGGGACCCUAGAGACUCACCCACCCAGCUGCAGGAUGCCCGGCUACCUCCAAGAAUCAGAUGGUUCUGCACAUAAGUAAUAAACGAUACUUUUUCUAAACAAAAAGACUGAAUUUAUCAAAUACUUGUAACAUUUUUAAAGAAAGUGUAUUGGACACUGGGCCAUUUGCUUCCUCUUACGGAGUUCUAAAAGUCUCCUGAACCCAUCACUGGGUACCGCGAGGUAGAUACCAUAUGGCCUUGCAUCGUUUGAACUUCACCCUUGUAAGUCUGGCAAACUAACACUAAUAGUUAGUCUGUUUUGAAAACCAUUUAUCCCCAUGGAGGACGACUCUCAGGAA